UACGGAGGGAGCUAGCGUUGUUCGGAAUUACUGGGCGUAAAGCGCGCGUAGGCGGCUUUGUAAGUUAGAGGUGAAAGCCCGGAGCUCAACUCCGGAACUGCCUUUAAAAACUGCAUCGCUUGAAUCCAGGAGAGGUGAGUGGAAUUCCGAGUGUAGAGGUGAAAUUCGUAGAUAUUCGGAAGAAACACCAGUGGGCGAAGGCGGCUCACUGGACUGGUAUUGACGCUGAGGUGGCGAAAGCGUGGGGGAGCAAACAGG
rnacentral:rRNA from 1 species